rnacentral:rRNA from 1 species
GGGUUGUGAGGUUAAGCGACUAAGCGUACACGGUGGAUGCCCUGGCAGUCAGAGGCGAUGAAGGACGUGCUAAUCUGCGAAAAGCGUCGGUAAGGUGAUAUGAACCGUUAUAACCGGCGAUGUCCGAAUGGGGAAACCCAGUGCAAUUCGUUGCACUAUCGUUAACUGAAUACAUAGGUUAACGAGGCGAACCGGGGGAACUGAAACAUCUAAGUACCCCGAGGAAAAGAAAUCAACCGAGAUUCCCCCAGUAGCGGCGAGCGAACGGGGAGCAGCCCAGAGUCUGAAUCAGCUUGUGUGUUAGUGGAACGGUCUGGAAAGUCCGACGGUACAGGGUGAUAGUCCCGUACACCAAAAUGCACAGGCUGUGAACUCGAAGAGUAGGGCGGGACACGUGGUAUCCUGUCUGAAUAUGGGGGGACCAUCCUCCAAGGCUAAAUACUCCUGACUGACCGAUAGUGAACCAGUACCGUGAGGGAAAGGCGAAAAGAACCCCGGCGAGGGGAGUGAAAAAGAACCUGAAACCGUGUACGUACAAGCAGUGGGAGCACCUUCGGGUGUGACUGCGUACCUUUUGUAUAAUGGGUCAGCGACUUAUAUUCUGUAGCAAGGUUAACCGUAUAGGGGAGCCGCAGGGAAACCGAGUCUUAACUGGGCGUUAAGUUGCAGGGUAUAGACCCGAAACCCGGUGAUCUAGCCAUGGGCAGGUUGAAGGUUGGGUAACACUAACUGGAGGACCGAACCGACUAAUGUUGAAAAAUUAGCGGAUGACUUGUGGCUGGGGGUGAAAGGCCAAUCAAACCGGGAGAUAGCUGGUUCUCCCCGAAAGCUAUUUAGGUAGCGCCUCGUGAACUCAUCUUCGGGGGUAGAGCACUGUUUCGGCUAGGGGGUCAUCCCGACUUACCAACCCGAUGCAAACUACGAAUACCGAAGAAUGUUAUCACGGGAGACACACGGCGGGUGCUAACGUCCGUCGUGAAGAGGGAAACAACCCAGACCGCCAGCUAAGGUCCCAAAGUCAUGGUUAAGUGGGAAACGAUGUGGGAAGGCACAGACAGCCAGGAUGUUGGCUUAGAAGCAGCCAUCAUUUAAAGAAAGCGUAAUAGCUCACUGGUCGAGUCGGCCUGCGCGGAAGAUGUAACGGGGCUAAACCAUGCACCGAAGCUGCGGCAGCGACACUAUGUGUUGUUGGGUAGGGGAGCGUUCUGUAAGCCUGCGAAGGUGACCUGUGAGGGUUGCUGGAGGUAUCAGAAGUGCGAAUGCUGACAUAAGUAACGAUAAAGCGGGUGAAAAGCCCGCUCGCCGGAAGACCAAGGGUUCCUGUCCAACGUUAAUCGGGGCAGGGUGAGUCGACCCCUAAGGCGAGGCCGAAAGGCGUAGUCGAUGGGAAACAGGUUAAUAUUCCUGUACUUGGUGUUACUGCGAAGGGGGGACGGAGAAGGCUAUGUUAGCCGGGCGACGGUUGUCCCGGUUUAAGCAUGUAGGCUGAUUGUCCAGGCAAAUCCGGAUAAUCAAGGCUGAGGUGUGAUGACGAGGCACUACGGUGCUGAAGUAACAAAUGCCCUGCUUCCAGGAAAAGCCUCUAAGCAUCAGGUAACAUCAAAUCGUACCCCAAACCGACACAGGUGGUCAGGUAGAGAAUACCAAGGCGCUUGAGAGAACUCGGGUGAAGGAACUAGGCAAAAUGGUGCCGUAACUUCGGGAGAAGGCACGCUGGUGUGUAGGUGAAGUCCCUGCGGAUGGAGCUGAGACCAGUCGAAGAUACCAGCUGGCUGCAACUGUUUAUUAAAAACACAGCACUGUGCAAACACGAAAGUGGACGUAUACGGUGUGACGCCUGCCCGGUGCCGGAAGGUUAAUUGAUGGGGUUAUCCGUAAGGAGAAGCUCUUGAUCGAAGCCCCGGUAAACGGCGGCCGUAACUAUAACGGUCCUAAGGUAGCGAAAUUCCUUGUCGGGUAAGUUCCGACCUGCACGAAUGGCGUAAUGAUGGCCAGGCUGUCUCCACCCGAGACUCAGUGAAAUUGAACUCGCUGUGAAGAUGCAGUGUACCCGCGGCAAGACGGAAAGACCCCGUGAACCUUUACUAUAGCUUGACACUGAACAUUGAGCCUUGAUGUGUAGGAUAGGUGGGAGGCUUUGAAGCGUGGACGCCAGUCUGCGUGGAGCCAACCUUGAAAUACCACCCUUUAAUGUUUGAUGUUCUAACGUUGGCCCCUUAUCGGGGUUGCGGACAGUGUCUGGUGGGUAGUUUGACUGGGGCGGUCUCCUCCCAAAGCGUAACGGAGGAGCACGAAGGUUAGCUAAUCCUGGUCGGACAUCAGGAGGUUAGUGCAAUGGCAUAAGCUAGCUUGACUGCGAGCGUGACGGCGCGAGCAGGUGCGAAAGCAGGUCAUAGUGAUCCGGUGGUUCUGAAUGGAAGGGCCAUCGCUCAACGGAUAAAAGGUACUCCGGGGAUAACAGGCUGAUACCGCCCAAGAGUUCAUAUCGACGGCGGUGUUUGGCACCUCGAUGUCGGCUCAUCACAUCCUGGGGCUGAAGUAGGUCCCAAGGGUAUGGCUGUUCGCCAUUUAAAGUGGUACGCGAGCUGGGUUUAGAACGUCGUGAGACAGUUCGGUCCCUAUCUGCCGUGGGCGCUGGAGAAUUGAGGGGGGCUGCUCCUAGUACGAGAGGACCGGAGUGGACGCAUCACUGGUGUUCGGGUUGUCAUGCCAAUGGCACUGCCCGGUAGCUAAAUGCGGAAGAGAUAAGUGCUGAAAGCAUCUAAGCACGAAACUUGCCCCGAGAUGAGUUCUCCCUGAGACUUUAAGUCUCCUGAAGGAACGUU